GAACUGUGAUGAGUCUAUCCCGAACCUGAUCUCUUGAUGAGACAUAUAUGGAUCUGACUGCUGAGUU